rnacentral:rRNA from 1 species
UACGUAGGUGGCAAGCGUUGUCCGGAUUUAUUGGGGUUAAAGGGUGCGUAGGCGGUCCUAUAAGUCAGUGGUGAAAUACGGCAGCUUAACUGUCGAGGUGCCAUUGAUACUGUAGGACUAGAGUACUGUUGAGGUAGGCGGAAUGGACGGUGUAGCGGUGAAAUGCUUAGAUAUCGUCCAGAACACCGAUAGCGAAGGCAGCUUACUAAAGAGUAACUGACGCUGAGGCACGAAAGUGUGGGGAUCAAACAGG